rnacentral:rRNA from 1 species
AGUGAACGCUGGCGGUAGGCCUAACACAUGCAAGUCGAACGGCAGCACAGUAAGAGCUUGCUCUUACGGGUGGCGAGUGGCGGACGGGUGAGGAAUACAUCGGAAUCUACUUUUUCGUGGGGGAUAACGUAGGGAAACUUACGCUAAUACCGCAUACGACCUACGGGUGAAAGCAGGGGAUCUUCGGACCUUGCGCGAUUGAAUGAGCCGAUGUCGGAUUAGCUAGUUGGCGGGGUAAAGGCCCACCAAGGCGACGAUCCGUAGCUGGUCUGAGAGGAUGAUCAGCCACACUGGAACUGAGACACAGUCCAGACUCCUACGGGAGGCAGCAGUGGGGAAUAUUGGACAAUGGGCGCAAGCCUGAUCCAGCCAUACCGCGUGGGUGAAGAAGGCCUUCGGGUUGUAAAGCCCUUUUGUUGGGAAAGAAAAGCAGCAGGUUAAUACCCCGCUGUUCUGACGGGACCCAAAGAAUAAGCACCGGCUAACUUCGG